rnacentral:rRNA from 1 species
UACGUAGGGGGCUAGCGUUGUCCGGAAUCAUUGGGCGUAAAGCGCGUGUAGGCGGUCCGGUAAGUCCGCUGUGAAAGUCGGGGGCUCAACCCUGGAAGGCCGGUGGAAACUGUCGGGCUAGAGUCCGGAAGAGGCGAGUGGAAUUCCCGGUGUAGCGGUGAAAUGCGCAGAUAUCGGGAAGGAACACCAAUGGCGAAGGCAGCUCGCUGGGACGGUACUGACGCUGAGACGCGAAAGCGUGGGGAGCAAACAGGG